rnacentral:rRNA from 1 species
GAGUUUGAUCAUGGCUCAGAACGAACGCUGGCGGCAGGCUUAACACAUGCAAGUCGAACGCGUGUAGCAAUACACGAGUGGCGCACGGGUGAGUAACGCGUGGAUAUCUGCCUUUUGGUUCGGAAUAACCCCGGGAAACUGGGGCUAAUGCCGGAUGGUUCCUACGGGAUAAAGAUUUAUCGCCAAAAGAUGAGUCCGCGUACGAUUAGCUAGUUGGUGGGGUAAUGGCUCACCAAGGCGACGAUCGUUAGCUGGUCUGAGAGGACGAUCAGCCACACUGGGACUGAGACACGGCCCAGACUCCUACGGGAGGCAGCAGUGGGGAAUAUUGGACAAUGGGGGCAACCCUGAUCCAGCCAUGCCGCGUGAGUGAUGAAGGCCUUCGGGUUGUAAGGC